UGGAUCCAGCGACCAGCGACA
rnacentral:siRNA from 1 species